UUUGACAUAUAAAGUCAUGUUUGUUAGGUUUACCAACAGCUCUGGUUUAAAUCGAAGGAGCAGGAAAGGCUACAGUAAGUGACCGUGCAUGCUACAAGGUUAAUAAUGUGACUACAACAGUGAUGUUCUACCUUUAGAAACGCUGUUUGAGCCAACAUUUGACAGACGGCACAGAACAUGGACUUGAUGUACUGCUGCUAUCCUCUGUGAACUCGUUAUCAAAGCCACCCACACAAUGGAACACACAUGUGCAACUCACCAGAAGGCCGUCCAUUACAACCCAGCUGUUUUCAAGGAGAUCCAUGCAGACGUGAAAGCAGGCAUUCCAACGGCACAGGAGAUCAAUACAAAUAAUCACAUGAGUCAUGUUUGGAGCUGUGGCUAUGCCUCCGAUGUUCCAGCCUGCUACCUGCACACAAAUACAGACAAAAGGAAAAGUGGUGUCAGUGGGUGAAACUUUGAUCAUACAGGAUUCCUAAAGGUAGCAAAGAAGUAGUUCAGAAAAAUACAGCCAUAAAUGCAGACCCUCAGAUAUUUGGCCAAAGGACUCACUGGAUUUCUAGAAGCAGAUUUCUCUCAGAUGAAGGGAGGUCUCCGCUGGUGUUUGGAUGUGGAAGAAUGUGGAAUAUGCUGAGUAUGGUACACAUUACUCAUAGCAGCAGACGUAGGACCCUCACCACCAUCACCACUACAGUUUUUUUUUCUCUUUUUUUUUUCUGGGUGUGAACCAUUCUCCCAAGGUCAGCCACAGCGGGAGGCAUAACUGCCAUUCAUCUGCCAAACCCUGGAGGGGAAGAGUAUUUCCAUCUCAACAAAAAGAGCUCCUGACACCCCCUGACCCUGUGUGGAGCGUGAACAGAGCCACCGCUGAGGACGAGAGACCAUCAGGGCCACGGGGUUCAUCCCAACCAACAGCUGUGCAGCAUCCAACGCGGCCAAAACACCGAGAUGAUGAAUUUCUGCCCUACAGUGGGCUAGGCAGGCGGUUCCUCACUCGAUGCUGAGAGGAUAAUUCAAUUAGCUCAAAGUGUACGCCGCUGAAGUCUAAAGCUGAAUUUAUAAUGACACUGGAACCUGGGGUUAUUGUGUGUUUAUCAUAAGAGACUGAGUGGGCUUCAUGCUGAAUAUUCCCUCUGUAAUGACUUUCCUUCGGCCCUGUUUUCUGUUAACAAAAUCAGUUGUUAUGCUGCACAGUGAAUGGACCAUAACUGUGUGUUGUUUUGAUGAUAUUAAACAUUUACAGCAGCUGC